rnacentral:lncRNA from 1 species
GCCCAAGGCCAGGAGGGCCCGGAUGCGGAACCGGAUGUGGCUUACGGCUCCGGUGCCUGGAGCGCUGGGGAAAUGGCCACAGGGACAGACCAGGUGGUGGGACUCGGCCUCGUCGCCGUUAGCCUGAUCAUCUUCACGUACUACACCACCUGGGUGAUUCUGUUGGUAUGUGUGCUUCCUCGUCCGCUCUCACCUCCUAUCCCUAGAUCUUGAAGCCAACUCCUAACAUUUAAGCACGUGACAGGCCUACCUGCCCAUGUAAUGAAAGCGUCAGAGCAGCAGUAGGAGGACGACACUAGCGGUGUCCCCAUUGUAUAGAUGACGAAGCCGAGGCUCAAGGAGAAGGUUCAGACCUAAGCCAUUCAUUGACAGUCAGCAUGUCAUCCACAAGUAUUUCCUGCCCCGGGCCUAUGCUGUUGCUAUCCCGCUGGCCGCCGGCCUCCUGCUGCUCCUCUUUGUGGGAGUGUUCAUCACCUCCGUGAUGCUGAAGAGCCAGAAGGUGACCAAAAAGGCUCAGUGAGGGCCUGGCCGAUAUAAGGCUGCGGCCCUUUCCGUUUCUUCGCCAGGGCAGACCCAGGCGGGGGGCCCACAGGACCCAUCCAGGCCCUGAGGCCCCCCUCAAGCCCAGCUGCCCUGAAGGCCCCCCCCGGCCCAAGGGGGACGGAGCUGUUCAGGACUCGCCCCCCAACUGCCCAGAGCCCCUCCCCUCCCCUCCUCCCCCUUCCAGAAGCCAGGAGGGAGGCGUCCCUGGAAGUCUCCCUCUCACCCCCUUCUGGCUCAGUGCCCGAAAGAUGCAGCUCAUCGCCCCUGCCCUCCGCCACCUUCGGACUCCCCGGCACUUUUCCCUGCGGGUCUACACUCUUGGCUCACUUCCCCACCUGUCACAUGCUGGUGUUGGACUUGGCAGGUUCUGGGCCAUCACAGGACCUCUCCCCACCAACCCUGCUCCUCCCCAAAGGCUGCUUUCCCAGGUCUGACAUAGGCCCAGGCCCUGCGAGGAUUUCUGGACCUGGAAAGCUUGGGGGGAGGCCUGACAGGCUGCCGGCACAUUAGGGCGGCCACGGUAGGGCCCCCCAUUGACUGCUUCUUGUGGAGGCCCAGCCCCCAGCCCCGUCUGUAGUGGGGGCGGGGGGGGGGUACAACAAUAAACGUUGACGGUGUGUUUGUCUCAGUGCCAUCCUGACCGGGGGAGCUGGGCGGCCCAGGGGCUGGAGAGGGGGCUGGGAGCUGGCUUCUGCCUUGGUCUCAGGUCAGGAGACCCUGGUUUGUGCAAUGAGGGUGCCUCAGGGGCCUCCUGGGGUUGUACAUGGGUCUGGCCUGAUGCUGCUCCCGGGGAGUCCGUGGGGCAUGGCAGUCUGCCAACGCCACAUCACCCUCUCCCCUGCCUCAUCUGUGCCAGCUCAGCCAGCACGGCCUGGUAUUUUAAGGACCCUCAGGCCAGUCCUCUGAAAGCUCAAGCCCAUCAUCUAUCUCUGGUACCCGGCCGCCCAGCUUAGCGUGGCUCUGAGCAGCGAGGGCUGCUGUGAGCCAGAGCAGGGCUGGUUCCACUGUGUUUAGGUUGGCUGGCACAAGCCCCAGCCCCAGUCCCCGGCAGUGGCACCGUGUCCCUCUGGGCAGCCAGCUCUCCUGUCCACAGUGCCUAGUGUAAGCCUUCAUCCCCUCACAUCGUGGACAUUCGUUCUCCCCCGCUUAGCAGAGGGGCCGCCCUCAUCAGAGAAAAGACACCAACUGCCGUUACACCUGCCUGUCCUUCCCUGUUCCUCUCUGCACCCUCCGGGCCAGGCAGAGCUGCUGGCCAGGGCUCUGGGUCCUGUCUCCUCCCACUGCUGUAGCAGGAACCUCAUGUCUUAGGAUCCCUCUCAAGGGAACAGCCUCUUCCUCCCAGCUGGUCUGCUCAGGGUUCGAUGAAUGUGUUACAGGCUCCAUUUAAGGGAUCCCCCCCUCUCUGCCCCAUCAACCCAGUGCUUCCCUCCAGGUCUCUCUCCUUCACAGCCAGGCUUCCCAAAAGGAAGUCCCGGCAUUUGCUCACCUCCACGGUGCUUGGCAGCAUUCUAGGAGGGCCGCACUCAGACCACCUGUGACGUCCAAUCUUUAAAUCCAAAGCAUGUUUCCUUGGCCCCCCUCUGCGAUGUUGGCCAGUGACAUCCCCCGGGUGCACCUUCAGAGGCUGGAUGACCCAUUCUACUUUGUGUGUGUCUCUCCCUCUCACCCAUGCUCGUCUUCUGCCCUGAACAGAGCCUUUUCACCCCACACCUAGAGGUGACCUCAUCCCUAGCCAGGCUCCAGCCCAGCUUUCUCCUGAGCCCCGAUUAUUGCACAUGCACCUGCCACCCACCUGCCAUCCUCACUGGAUGUCAUAGUGGCACCUCAGAUUCAUUCCAUCAUGAUCUGAAUUCUCAGACUCCCCACCUCCCUGCACAAAUCCGGCUCUCCCCUCAUGCCUGCCCCUUCUUGUGACUGGCGUUGUCAUCCAUGUCCCUGACUCCAGCCAGAGCCUGGCAGCCAUAGCUGAACUUGGCUUUCCUCUUCCACCCCGCAUCCGUAUGACCCCCCCCCCCCAAUCCUGUCAGUUCUUCCCUCCGCAGGCACCUUCCUGAUGCAAAGCCCAUCCUCUGCCCUCACUCAUCAAAGGCUUCCUCACUGCUUUCCCUGCCCACAAGGCCCCCUCCAAACUGACUGCACUACCGCCAGUGGCUUUUGAAAACAUUUGAGCAUCUUUCUCAUACAAUGCUUCUCUGGGUUCCCAUUCCUCUUCCUCCCAUGGAUGGCAAGAUCCUGUACGCUCGCUCACUCCAGCCACGCUGUCCUUUUAUUUCCUGGGACUCACUGAAGUUCUCUGCACGUCCUGCUCACGUUGGUUCAGCAUACACUUCUCCAACACCAGUUUGUGCCAAAUACUGAGCCAGGAAAGGAGCCUGGCAUGGUUCCACACUCCCACUCUGGGCAAGUGCAGUGUGGGGAUGAGGGGAGAUAAUAAUAAAUGAACUGGACCG